rnacentral:rRNA from 1 species
CCUACGGGAGGCUGCAGUGGGGAAUAUUGCACAAUGGGGGAAACCCUGAUGCAGCGACGCCGCGUGAGUGAAGAAGUAAUUCGUUAUGUAAAGCUCUAUCAGCAGGGAAGAAAAUGACGGUACCUGAGUAAGAAGCCCCGGCUAACUCCGUGCCAGCAGCCGCGGUAAUACGGAGGAUGCGAGCGUUAUCCGGAUUUAUUGGGUUUAAAGGGUGCGUAGGCGGGAUGCCAAGUCAGCGGUAAAAAUGCGGUGCUCAACGCCGUCGAGCCGUUGAAACUGGCGUUCUUGAGUGGGCGAGAAGUAUGCGGAAUGCGUGGUGUAGCGGUGAAAUGCAUAGAUAUCACGCAGAACUCCGAUUGCGAAGGCAGCAUACCGGCGCCCUACUGACGCUGAGGCACGAAAGCGUGGGUAUCGAACAGGAUUAGAUACCCCAGUAGUC